rnacentral:rRNA from 1 species
UCUUGGAUGUAAAUAUAAUUAAAUUUACCAGAGUACUAUGAACGAAAAAGCUUAAAACUCAAAGGGCUUGGCGGUGUUUUAGACCUUUCAGGGGAACCUGUCUCAUAAUCGACAAUCCACGUUAAACCUAACCUUUUUUUGUAAACAGUUUGUAUACCGUCGUCGUCAGGUAACUUUUAAAAAAUUAAAAGUUAGCAAAUUAAUUUUAUAAAUUUAAACGUCAGAUCAAGGUGCAACUCAUAAAAAGGCAGAGAUGGGUUACAAUUAUAUAAUUAUAUCUCGAAAAAUUAGAUGAAUAACUAUUUAGAAGAGGGACUUGAAAGUAAAAUUGAUUAUAUAAACAAUUUGAAUAAGGCUCUGAAACGUGC